UUAACAGUUUCUUAUACAUACUCUGGAUACAAGUUUUUUGUUGACUAUAUGUUUUGUGAAUAUUUUCUCCCAUGUCAUAAAUGAGCAUUGGAUUUUUGUCGAAUGCUUUUCUGCAUCUGUGCAUGUAUGCCUUUAUUGUGGGCACCUCUGGCUAUGUCCUUAGGAUUCAUUCCUAGGAAUGGAAGUGAAAAGUCAAAAUGUAUAAACAUUUUUAAGCCUUUGGCAUCUUGUUUCCAAAUUGCCAUUCAGAAAUAUUUGGUCAGGGCUGGGCGCGGUGGCUCACGCCUGUGAUCCCAGCACUU
rnacentral:lncRNA from 10 species